rnacentral:ncRNA from 1 species
ACAGCCUGAGGACCGGAAAACCUGCUGCCGGCCCGCCUUGACAUACCCUCCCAACCAACAAGGUGCGAUGUGGGGAAGGCAGUCCCACCAGGCUGU